rnacentral:tRNA from 1 species
AUUUAAAUGGCAGAUUAGUGCUUUAGAUUUAAAUUCUAACUAUAAAAAUAUUUUUUUUUAAAUA